rnacentral:rRNA from 1 species
GAUGAACGCUGGCGGCGUGCCUAAUACAUGCAAGUCGAGCGAACAGACGAGGAGCUUGCUCCUCUGACGUUAGCGGCGGACGGGUGAGUAACACGUGGAUAACCUACCUAUAAGACUGGGAUAACUUCGGGAAACCGGAGCUAAUACCGGAUAAUAUAUUGAACCGCAUGGUUCAAUAGUGAAAGACGGUUUUGCUGUCACUUAUAGAUGGAUCCGCGCCGCAUUAGCUAGUUGGUAAGGUAACGGCUUACCAAGGCAACGAUGCGUAGCUGACCUGAGAGGGUGAUCGGCCACACUGGAACUGAGACACGGUCCAGACUCCUACAGGAGGCAGCAGUAGGGAAUCUUCCGCAAUGGGCGAAAGCCUGACGGAGCAACGCCGCGUGAGUGAUGAAGGUCUUCGGAUCGUAAAACUCUGUUAUUAGGGAAGAACAAAUGUGUAAGUAACUAUGCACGUCUUGACGGUACCUAAUCAGAAAGCCACGGCUAACUACGUG